rnacentral:rRNA from 1 species
UACGUAGGUGGCAAGCGUUGUCCGGAUUUAUUGGGUUUAAAGGGUGCGUAGGCGGUUCUAUAAGUCAGUGGUGAAAUACGGCAGCUCAACUGUCGAGGUGCCAUUGAUACUGUAGAACUUGAGUACAGACGAGGUAGGCGGAAUUGACGGUGUAGCGGUGAAAUGCUUAGAUAUCGUCAAGAACACCGAUAGCGAAGGCAGCUUACUAGGCUGUAACUGACGCUGAGGCACGAAAGCGUGGGGAGCAAACAGG